AACAAGUCUGAAAGUUUUAAAACUUUGAAAGGCAACCCAAUUGGACUUAACAUGUUGAGCAACAAUAAGAAAUUGAGUGAAAAUACGCAAAAUACGUCAUUAUGUUCUGGAACUGUAGUUCAUGGUAGACGUUUUCAUCAUGCUCAUGCACAGAUACCAGUAGUAAAAACAGCAGCCCAAAGGUAAGAAUUUUAAUUGUCUUUGGUUAGUAUAUACAUGGCAUCCUCUUCAAUAGGUUUUCACUUUUUUUAACCAUUUUUUUCCUUUGUGAAACCUUACUGUUUUCACUGUCUGUAGAGAGAUAUAUCUCUGAAAUAAUUCAUGACAUGAAAUUAUAUUAUUUUAUAUCUGCUUUUGAGUAAUCACAUUCUGUAAAUAGAGAAUUUUUCACUAAGACCUGUUGUAUUGCAUUAUAAUCCAGAGAAUC
rnacentral:sRNA from 1 species